rnacentral:lncRNA from 1 species
UCAAAGCCUUCUUAUGUGUAGAAAUGGAACGUCACGGGGAAAGAGGUUCGACAAUAUUUCAUGGAUUUAUUGUUAUAGGCUUCUGUAGAACUCAAAACAAUCUUCAUCUCUUAUUUUGUGAUGUUUUAAGGAUCGCAUGACCUAAUUUUUUGUGGUCUCUUUAAACAUGAGACGUGGAUCUCCUUGAAUCUAUUUUCAUUAUGUUCCUAUAUUACAUAUGAAGCAGCUAAAUUAACCUGACCUUAUGGGCAGAAGAGAAGGGUUUGGCUGCACUAACCAUUGUUCCUUCUGGUCCCAAAUGAGAUGUUGGUACAAUAUUUGAAUUUUUCACCUUUUUGAUAUCAUCCUCAAUAUUAUAGAAGCAAGAUAAAAAAGAUUUUAAGGCAGCAUAAAACUUGUUA